rnacentral:hammerhead_ribozyme from 1 species
AUCUAGCUGUGGAGUCCAAAGUAGAACGAAACGCACGUCAUAAAU